rnacentral:antisense_RNA from 1 species
GCGGCGCGCGCCCUCCUCCCAUUGGACCCGGCGCUCCCGGCAGGCCUACAGAAUUGGGCGUGAAACAGCAAAGGAUGGCCUCUGCUUCCACCACCAUCAGAAAUGUUACAUUUUCACCAGUGCACCAUAAUGUAGCAGUCUCUUAUUGUGAGGUAUCACCUGGAGUUCUUUGUCUCAUGACCAAGAAAAUUAAGGAGCGUGGAUGCAAAUGGUGAAGUUGCAGCGAAAGUUUAAUAAGCAAAAGAAGAAAGCUCUCCACAGUGGAGAGGGGACCCGGAGGAGGGUUGCUGUUUUUACAGUAUCUUCCCUUGUGGACUACACCAAUGUCGAAAUGUUCUUGCUAAAAAUGAUGCAGGGAGAAAGACAAAGUUAUAAAGUUGGCAUCCACAAUUUUUCCAUCUUGCCUCGCUCCCCAAUUUAAAUGAAGGAAAAAAAAUUGGUGAGGUCUCCAGCCCUGUCUGAAGCAGGCAUCCAUUAUCCUGCUCAGGGGGUGACCUUUAUCUUCAUGGCCCAGUGUGGCUGCAAGAGCUCUAGCAUCCAAGUUCCCAGCAGAAGGAUGGAGGACUGGCUGGAAAAACAAGGACACACAGGGUAUGCAUCAGAUAUGAAAUUUAUGUCAUACAAUUUCUUUACCAAUAGAUAAGACUGAAAGCAACACCAGCCAGUCUUGGGAAAUAUAAAAUUGCAAAUAAAUUUUGAUAAUUUUUCAUUUUGUAAAGGAUCUUUCUGCUGAUGCAGCUGUUA